GACGAACGCUGGCGGCAUGCUUUACACAUGCAAGUCGGACGAGUGGCGAACGGGUGAGUAACGCAUCGGAACGUACCGAGUAAUGGGGGAUAACUGUCCGAAAGGACAGCUAAUACCGCAUAUUAUUCGAGCGGCCGAUGUCUGGUUGGCUGGUUGGCGGGGUAAAGGCCCACCAAGGCGACGAUCAGUAGUGGGUCUGAGAGGAUGAUCCGCCACACUGGGACUGAGAAACGGCCGCAGCUCCUACGGGAGGCAGCAGUGGGGAGUUUUGGACAAUGGGCGCAAGCCUGAGCCAGCCAUGCCGGGUGUCUGAAGAAGGCCUUCGGGUUGUAAAGGACUUUUGUCAGGGAAGCGGUACCUGAAGAAUAAGCACCGGCUAACUACGUGCCAGCCGCCGCGGUAAUUC
rnacentral:rRNA from 1 species